GAAAGUGUAAUAUAAGGGAUGGUGGUGAUGACGUUCAAAUGGCUCAGAAACUGAACCGCACAAGACAUCCAACUUCGUAUACCGAUCCUUGUAUAUGAAUCCAUUGCACAUUCGACUGCAAGCAUAACAUCUGAAGGUAUCUAGCUCCUUGUUUGUAAAUAAAGUGAGCCGUUCAUUGUGUAACACAUGCCUUUUCUUUUAGGACAUUUAGCACAGCACUGAUGGAGAGAAAAAUCACAAUCCAUACAUCCAUAAAAGGAUUGGAGACCAAUGGGAUGGGUGCAUGCGCUGCAUCGUUUGGUAUCCUCAUACAAAACACCAUUCUCAUUGAAUCUGAGGUAAUGCUCUUUGUGGCUGAAAUGUUGUAUUGUGUUGUCGUCUAUCACCACAUAUGGUUCUAUAUCUUCUUCUUCUUCAGGUACUCCUUCAAGCUCUUUCAUGUUCCAAACAUCAUAUCUGGUAGCACAUUUAGAAUGAACAACAUAGUUAGGGCACGUCUGACAAGAAAAUCCUCCACAAGUCCAGUCCACCUUCUUGUGACAAACUUCGCAUACAGAAUUCAUAGCACCAUCACCAAGAAGCAAAGUACGAGAAACACGGUGAUCAUGUCGAUUGAUGUUAAUGACACGAGGAAGACCAAGACAGCCUUGAUGGAUCAUGAAAUCACAUUGAACACACAUGUAAGGGCUUCGAUCUCCCUUGAGCCCACAAGCAUUACAUGUGAAUGAAAGCAGUCUUGGAAGAAGCUUGAGUUGGUGAUCAUGAGCUUUCAAGUUCAAAAGAGAUUGUGGUGGCGGAUUCACAACACAACGCCAAUCCAAGGUGAAGUUACAAGAAGAACAAUGAUAAAACAAUUCUUUAUCAACCUUUCUUCCGCAAAGACGACAUUUACCAUCAGAAUAGUCAGGUGGUGGACCCUUGAAUAGCUUAAGAGGAUGCAAGGAGUGAUAAGGGUGGUUUACCUCUGUUGAGUGCUCUAGUGCUGCUGGGUGCCAUACACAUUCCACAUGAAAGGCUACAGCAUCACAUUCAUUACAUUGGUAAUAAAAUCCACAAGAAAAUCCUGCAGCAUAUGCAGAAGUCUUCCCGCAUUUUGCAGAACAGUGGAAGGCGCUCAGUUCCUUGACAAAUGUGAGCUUGUGGGGAUGCAUCUCAAAAUUUUCAAUAAUAUCUGGUGGUGGGUACUUGGCACAGUGUAGAUCCAUGUGGAAGUCACACAUCUCGCAACGAUAGGAUAGAUUUUGGAUUUUACUAUCACAUAUAUAGCAUACGUGAUCUUCUCGUUUUUCUUGAAGCCGGAGAGUGUGAUCGGGGUGAGAUGGGUGGUCGCUGAUGAAUUCAGACAGCUCGUCGCCACACUUCUUGUGCACGAAGAAAUCACAGAGUUUACAAUAGUAGCCAUCACUCUGAGGUUCAAAGCAAUCACAGCAAUCGCCUUUCCUCAUAUGAUGAUCAUUCCAAGGCGUCAUAGGAUGCUCGUGAAACAAUGGUAACAACACUCCUCCCUCAGAUUCCAUUUUGCUCUCUAGUAUACUAAAGAAGAUGAAGAAGAAGAAGGAAAGAUUGAAUAAUGGAGAUAGAUCUCUUGAAUAAUGGUGUGGUGUGUUUUCUCAAAGCUAUAUCUCUUUCUCUGGCCACUCAAACAUUAUCCCCUCUCAAGUUUCUUUGUUUUCAUAUUUCGAUAAAGAAAAGGUUCCCUAUGCUUAAGGUGGGGUUGUCAGCUUUGUUUUCUCUUUUACUUUUCUGGUUUUCUUUUGCUUUUUCUCCAAAUGCGUAGUAUUGUCACUUAUCAGCUGCAUAACCGUAACGAAGAAAGAUGGUGGACGCUCAAGAAGCUAUAGUUCUGGCAGCAUUUGCCUCUUUCAGGAUAGCCUUACAGAUUUUUUUCUCAUUAUAGUUGCAACUAUUUUGAUGACCAUGACCUAAGUUGAAGGUUAUGCAUCACUUUUGUUAUUUAGAUAGACGAUCAGCUGAGAAAUAAUUCUGGUUCAUUGUCGUCACUGUCUUUCUUGGAUGUAUCAUUAUAGAGACAUCGUUUCAGCUGUUUAAAAUCUUUCCUCGAGCAUGUUCUGAUUCAUUGAGUCCAGAGUUUCAAACCCGGGAUAAUAUAUGAAACAUAUCAAUCAGACUUUUUUUUAUAACAAACCUUUACCAAGCAUUUUACAUGUAAGACUGAGGGUUACUGUGCUCUUCGUUCUCAAGGGAAGAUAUUGCAGAAAACGUAGAGCUGAAAACAUUAGGAGAAACAAUAGUCUUGGAAGGAAAAACAGUCUCCAUUGAUAAAAAGUAGAUGAACACGGUGAUUGAUGUUAAUGACCCGUGGAAGGCCAAGACAGUCUUGAUGAAUCAUGAAACCACAUGGAACACAUAUGUAAGGCUUUGAUCUCCCUUGAGGCCACAAGCAUUACAUGUAAAAAAAAAAUCGAGUCUUGGAAGAAGAGUGAGCUGGUGAUCAUGAGUGGGGGGUUCAAAACAAUUCUAAGGCAAAGACGACAUGUUCCAUCAAAACACAGGCAUAUCCAAGGUGAAGUUACAAGAAUAACAAUGAUAAAAACAAUUCUUUAUCAAUCUCUCUUGUGUUUGGAGUUUGAUUUGGCUUUGAUGGCGACGAGGAACCGAACGACGGUGUACAGGAAACACAGAGACGCGUGCUCCUCUGUCUGAUUCGUUCGGUGGUCCGGUGAUCGAAAUGGUUAGUGUUUGAUCCAAAAAUGGUGUUUAUCUUUGUGAUGUUUGUUGGAAUCAAUCAAAUAAAGAAUCUAAAGAUAAAAGCUUAGAUUCUUGAGGUUUAGGAGAAAUCUUAAAAGAAUCAAAUGAGAAAUGAACAUCAAAAGAGUUUAUUGAUUUAAGAUUGUAUUACAUGUAGGAUUACAAGUGUAAAUAAAUCUAAUAAUUCAUAAACCCUUUGUAAGAAGUGUUCUAAGUCUAAAAUGAAGAAGAAGACCCCCCGUCAUAAGGAGAUAAUUCCUUAUUUAUAGAAGAAAGAUGACUAGAGUUUCAUAGUAAAAUGGGUCUAAUUUAUUGUCUAAUGGGCCUUGAGGUAGAAUGUAAAUCUACCCCCAACAAUAAGUCCCCCCAAGUUCGUAGAGAGAGAUGAAGUCGAUCUCUGUGAAUUUUACGAAUAGGGUUUAUUAGACAAUAAACUAGACACAUUCAUGCCUAUGAUGGUUUAGGCGAGUUUACUUCGAACUUGUGCCUAGUAAAAGGCAAGUUUGCUUUAAACUCGUGCUUAGUGAAAGACGAGUUUACUUGACUCAUGCUGAGACAGAGGCGAAUUUACUGAGAACUCGUGCCUAGUAGUAGGAGAGUUUCUGUAAACUCAUGCCUUGUCAAAGAUGAGUUUUUGUAAACUCGUGUCUAACAAUAAGUGAGUCUAAUGCAAAUUUGUGCCUAAUAUAAAGCAAGUUGAAUUUAAACUCGUGCCUAGUAAAAAUAAGUUUACCGAACUUUGCCGACCCGAAGUCUCGUGUUGAGAUCGUGUGUGCCGAGCAAGUUAUUGGCUUGUGUGUUCGUCAGGCAUGAUGACGUAAGAAAGCGCCGGCUUGUGCUGAUUCAGACAAGUUUGUAGCUGAGAGAUCGCCAUUCCAAGCAUGAGGACAUGACAGUAGCACUCACUUGUUGAUUCUCUUUGGCUCAACGAUCUAAUCAACUCUGGUUCACAACAAAAAGCAUGAUCAGAUCAAGGUUAACCAAAAGAACCAGCCAAGUUUUGUAUAAUUGAUAAGCAAGCGAUAGUUUAACUUGUGUUAAUGCUCGGCUAUUGCAUAUGAUGUUAGUAAUUUAUCAAUUACUAAUCAUUAUGCACAGGUUGCAAACAACAAAUCAAUCAACCGUAAUUAUCUCAUAAAGGUUAUAAGAUACUUAUCUUUGAGGAUGAGCCUUGUUUGUAACUUGACAAAGAAGUUAUUGUGGACGUGAUGACAUUUUGUGCUGACGAUCUCAAUGGAUCGCUCUUAUCAGAGCUGAGAUGACGGUGAACUCAAAGCUGAUGACUUUAUCUUUGUUCCUCACUGUUGAGAGCUCGUUUCCUUUUGCAACCUCUUCUUCGUAUUUUUUUUUUGAGAUGACAAACUCGUAUGCCGGUUCAUGUUCAAAGCGGAGGUUAAGCAUGAAGCGUCGAGAGAGUACCACAGGCCUAGUGAGGAAGAUAACUUAGGAGUGUGCAUGAGCUUGAGCCUCUUGAUCCUUGAACUUGAGCUCGAGCUUCUUGAUGGCUGACGUGCGUGCAUGACCUUUAGCCUCGUGACCGUCGAGCAAGUGAUGGAGCUUUAGGCCCGCAAGAAGCUUCGUUGAUGGAGCUUUGAAGACGUCAUGGUGAUGAAGCCAUAAGAAACCGGGUGCCGAGAUCACAUGAUCACCUCUGUUUCUCGGCGGUGUACCGGACGAGCUUGAACUUACAUUGUUGUUUGGCGUUGACUUGUGCCUAGUAAAUCACAUGACUGUUGCUCGGCGUUAACCCGCACGAUCUCAAGGCUUCUGUCGCAACAAGAGCAGUCAUCGACGAGGUGAGACGAGAUGGACCUUGAACGGAGGCACGCAAACGAGGCCUUGAAGAGCUUGCGGUAAUGACGUGCUUGUCUAGAGAGCUUUCUUGAAGAAGCAAGACCUUGUUGGAGAGGUUGUCAUCGACAUGAUCAUAACCAAUUGAACCUUCUCCUCGUCAUGAAGGAGCUCUCCUCCUAUUCUCACGCUCAUGCCAAGGUUAAAGCCUUUGUCGGGUAGAAAGAUGCGACCGAUUCCCUUUGCUGUGUGAAAGCAAAGGCCAGAGCUGUCCUUGGGCUUCUUGGGAUACAGCGAUCUCGGGAUGAAGAAGAGACAGCACUUGCUACAGCGGUCUCGUCUUAAAGAUGAGGCAAGAACUUCCUGUCACUCGGUUUCGUCUUUAACGAAGACGAGGAGCUUGUACUAUCCCGUCAGUGUGGCGAGCUUGUGUGAUGCAGUGAUCAAGCUCGUUUAUCAGACGAGAGCCAGAAAUGAGCAGGGUCUGUAAGCUUCCGAGCUGACUGGUAUGGCCUAGCCCUUAGUUCACCGUGAAAUUACGCUCCAUUCUAUUAAACAAAGACAUUAGAAGUUGAAAAUAAUUCGUAAGAAACUAUUUAAUAAUGCUUUGGAGAGUUAUGCAAGGUAGCUUGUCAAUUAUCUAUGGGAACAAUCGUUCAAAGUAUACAAUAAUUUAUAACAUUGACUCAGCGAAUGAAUAAUUGAUAAAUAAUUAAUCAAGAAUCCACGACUUGCACAAAGUGUGAAGUAUUAUUUAGUGGUAAUGGAUAAUUGACCAAAUAUUGAAAAGGAGACUUAUCUUUUUUUUUUUGUGUAGGCAAUUUUGAUGGAGAUAUCUUGUGCCAGUCUGGAGGGAUUUCGAACAGGAAGGUAUCUUGUAGUUACCAGGUCCACAAGUGAGUAGAUUCCCUGGUUUAAUCCAUUUAUGAGAUGCAUCUCCCCAUUUCACUUCUUCUAGAGCUACCCAACCUAACCCUUGUACGAAUGCUCCUUCUAUCUGCAAAACAUGUUCAGGUUUCAGACACAAACGCAACACUCUUGUCUUAAUGAUUUCAAGUGGUUUUGUUUCAAGUACUUGUCCAAUAUCUAUGGCUGGGUUAAGAGAAUAUCCCAGGUCCAACUUUAUAUCGACCGUUUUUGUGUGAAAGUCACCGGUUAAUGUAUCGAUCUCAACUUCCGCAAAUGCAGCUCCGUAGGUGUAAUAUCUGAAUGGGUUUCCUUUACCGGAGAUCCAGUCAAAGCCAACAUCGGGAACAAUGUAAAAGCCAUGAGCAGAGAGGUCUAUUCGUUGAAAAUAGCAUGCACUUGCCAGCUACAUACCAAUCAAAACAAAGCAGGUUAAGAGAGUUUUAUUCAUCAAAAGGCAAAGAAUGUUUCAUUGAGUUACCUCAGCCAAGGAGUUGCCACUGAGCUUAGUGGCAAGAGGCUCCAUUCGUGCUUUAAUCUGCUCACACCGUACAUGUCAGAGCUCAGAGAAGCAGCGGUUGGUGACGCAUUUGGAACAUAGUUACAUCUUAUUUCUUAACACUUUAUAUUAUAAAUAUUACCUUGUCGGUGCUCGUCUCUGAUACAAAAACGGAACUAAGGGGAAUGUUAAAGGCAUAAGCAGCAACUUGAGAAACCUUUGUAUGCAAUCCUUGACCCAUCUCUACACCUCUAUGUGUCACCAAAACAGUACCGUCUGUGUACACAUACACAAGAGCACCUGCCUAACACCCAAAAAUUAAAAUGGAUAUAAGUAACAAAAACUCUGUUUCUUGCUUCUCAAGAAAUAGUAUUGCAAGAUAGACUUACCUGGUUCAUGAACGUUUUGGUAAAUGAUACGCCAAACUUUGUGGGAACCAUAGCCACACCACGCUUUUUCCACCGGUUGUGGCUAUUAAACUCGUCGACAUCUCUACGAGCCUUUAGAAAGUUGCAAGACACUUUCAGCUCCUUCCAGAGCUGAUGCAGUGUGCAAUGCUGAAUACACUGAGAGUAAUGUGUGAUAGAGCCUUCCACUUGAAAGUUCAUCUCCUAAAGUAACACCCAAGAAAGCAUCAAAACAUGAGAAAUAAUUCCUAUGAACUUUCAGGAACAUUAUGAUUUCUUCAGGGCUUCUAUUAAGUUCAGCUGCGAUUCUCUGGAUCCAGUUUUCGGUUAUAAGCAUGCCUUGCGGACCUCCAAAGCCUCGGAAAGCAGUGUUGCUAGGAUAGUUAGUAAAGCAAACGUUCCUCUGAUCCUCACAUGUGGAUCUCAUAGACAUUAUCAGAGUUAAACAUUGCAANNNNNNNNNNNNNNNNNNNNNNNNNNNNNNNNNNNNNNNNNNNNNNNNNNNNNNNNNNNNNNNNNNNNNNNNNNNNNNNNNNNNNNNNNNNNNNNNNNNNCACUUGAGUAGACGAUAUUCCUUAUUGUUGCAACCAUUGCAUAUUCCCCCGUCUCUUCAAUGGAAUUGUCAGAUAAUACGAAAGUGGUAAUAUAAGGGAUGGGGGUGAUGACGUUCAAAUGGGCUCAGAAACUGAACCGCACAAGACAUCCAACUUCGUAUACCGAUCCUUGUAUAUGAAUCCAUUGCACAUUCGACUGCAAGCAUAAAUCCGAAGGUAUCUAGCUCCUUGUUUGUAAAUAAGUGAGCCGUUCAUUGUGUAACACAUGCCUUUUCUUUUUAGGACAUUUAGCACAGCACUGAUGGAGAGAAAAAUCACAAUCCAACAUCCAUAAAAGGAUUGGAGACCAAUGGGAUGGGUGCAUGCGCUGCAUCGUUUUGGUAUCCCCUCAUACAAAACACCAUUCUCAUUGAAUCUGAGUAAUGCUCUUUGUGGCUGAAAUGUUGUAUUGUGUUGUCGUCUAUCACCACAUAUGGUUCUAUAUCUUCUUCUUCUUCAGGUACUCCUUCAAGCUCUUCAUGUUCCAAACAUCAUAUCUGGUAGCACAUUUAGAAUGAACAACAUAGUUAGGGCACGUCUGACAAGAAAUCCUCCACAAGUCCAGUCCCCUUCUUGUGACAAACUUCGCAUACGAGAAUUCAUAGCACCAUCACCAAGAAGCAAAGUACGAGAAACACGGUGAUCAUGUCGAUUGAUGUUAAUGACACGAGGAAGACCAAGACAGCCUUGAUGGAUCAUGAAAUCACAUUGAACACACAUGUAAGGGCUUCGAUCUCCCUUGAGCCCACAAGCAUUACAUGUGAAUGAAAGCAUCUUGGAAGAAGCUUGAGUUGGUGAUCAUGAGCUUUCAAGUUCAAAAGAGAUUGUGGUGGCGGAUUCACAACACAACGCCAAUCAAGGUGAAGUUACAAGAAAAAAAUGAUAAAACAAUUCUUUAUCAACCUUUCUUCCGCAAAGACGACAUUUACCAUCAGAAUAGUCAGGUGGUGGACCCUUGAAUAGCUUAAGAGGAUGCAAGAGUGAUAAGGGUGGUUUACCUCUGUUGAGUGCUCUAGUGCUGCUGGGUGCCAUACACAUUCCACAUGAAAGGCUACAGCAUCACAUUCAUUACAUUGGUAAUAAAAUCCACAAGAAAUCCUGCAGCAUAUGCAGAAGUCUUCCCGCAUUUUGCAGAACAGUGGAAGGCGCUCAGUUCCUUGACAAAUGUGAGCUUGUGGGGAUGCAUCUCAAAAUUUUCAAUAAUAUCUGGUGGUGGGUACUUGGCACAGUGUAGAUCCAUGUGGAAGUCACACAUCUCGCAACGAUAGGAUAGAUUUUGGAUUUUACUAUCACAUAUAUAGCAUACGUGAUCUUCUCGUUUUUCUUGAAGCCGGAGAGUGUGAUCGGGGUGAGAUGGGUGGUCGCUGAUGAAUUCAGACAGCUCGUCGCCACACUUCUUGUGCACGAAGAAAUCACAGAGUUUACAAUAGUAGCCAUCACUCUGAGGUUCAAAGCAAUCACAGCAAUCGCCUUUCCUCAUAUGAUGAUCAUUCCAAGGCGUCAUAGGAUGCUCGUGAAACAAUGGUAACAACACUCCUCCCUCAGAUUCCAUUUUGCUCUCUAGUAUACUAAAGAAGAUGAAGAAGAAGAAGGAAAGAUUGAAUAAGGGAGAUAGAUUCCUUGAAUAAUGGUGUGGUGUGUUUUCUCAAAGCUAUAUCUCUUCUCUCUGGCCACUCAAACUUAUCCCCUCUCAAGUUUCUUCUUUGUUUUCAUAUUUCGAUAAAGAAAAGGUUCCCUAUGCUUAAGUGGGGUUGUCAGCUUUGUUUUCUCUUUUACUUUUCUGGUUUUCUUUUUGCUUUUUCUCCAAAUGCGUAGUAUUGUCACUUAUCAGCUGCAUAACCGUAACGAAGAAAGAUGGUGGACGCUCAAGAAGCUAUAGUUCUGGCAGCAUUUGCCUCUUUCAGGAUAGCCUUGAUUUUUUUUCAUUAUAGUUGCAACUAUUUUGAUGACCAUGACCUAAGUUGAAGGUUAUGCAUCACUUUUGUUAUUUAGAUAGACGAUCAGCUGAGAAAUAAUUCUGGUUCAUUGUCGUCACUGUCUUUCUUGGAUAUAUCAUUAUAGAGACAUCGUUUCAGCUGUUUAAAAUCUUUCCUCGAGCAUGUUCUGAUUCAUUGAGUCCAGAGUUUCAAACCCGGGAUAAUAUAUGAAACAUAUCAAUCAGACUUUUUUUUAUAACAAACCUUUACCAAGCAUUUUACAUGUAAGACUGAGGGUUACUGUGCUCUUCGUUCUCAAGGGAAGAUAUUGCAGAAAACGUAGAGCUGAAAACAUUAGGAGAAACAAUAGUCUUGGAAGGAAAAACAGUCUCCAUUGAUAAAAAGUAGAUGAACACGGUGAUUGAUGUUAAUGACCCGUGGAAGGCCAAGACAGUCUUGAUGAAUCAUGAAACCACAUGGAACACAUAUGUAAGGGCUUUGAUCUCCCUUGAGGCCACAAGCAUUACAUGUAAAAAAAAAUCGAGUCUUGGAAGAAGAGUGAGCUGGUGAUCAUGAGUGGGGGGGUUCAAAACAAUUCUAAGGCAAAGACGACAUGUUCCAUCAAACACAAGGCAUAUCCAAGGUGAAGUUACAAGAAUAACAAUGAUAAAACAAUUCUUUAUCAAUCUCUCUUGUGUUUGGAGUUUGAUUUGGCUUUGAUGGCGACGAGGAACCGAACGACGGUGUACAGGAAACACAGAGACGCGUGCUCCUCUGUCUGAUUCGUUCGGUGGUCCGGUGAUCGAAAAUGGUUAGUGUUUGAUCCAAAAAUGGUGUUUAUCUUUGUGAUGUUUGUUGGAAUCAAUCAAAUAAAGAAUCUAAAGAUAAAAGCUUAGAUUCUUGAGGUUUAGGAGAAAUCUUAAAAGAAUCAAAUGAGAAAUGAACAUCAAAAGAGUUUAUUGAUUUAAGAUUGUAUUACAUGUAGGAUUACAAGUGUAAAUAAAUCUAAUAAUUCAUAAACCCUUUGUAAGAAGUGUUCUAAGUCUAAAAUGAAGAAGACCCCCCGUCUAAUAAGGAGAUAAUUCCUUAUUUAUAGAAGAAAGAUGACUAGAGUUUCAUAGUAAAAUGGGUCUAAUUUAUUGUCUAAUGGGCCUUGAGGUAGAAUGUAAAUCUACCCCCAACAAUAAGUCCCCCCAAGUUCGUAGAGAGAGAUGAAGUCGAUCUCUGUGAAUUUUACGAAUAGGGUUUAUUAGACAUAAACUAGACAAUUCAUGCCUAUGAUGGUUUAGGCGAGUUUACUUCGAACUUGUGCCUAGUAAAAGGCAAGUUUGCUUUAAACUCGUGCUUAGUGAAAGACGAGUUUACUUGACUCAUGCUGAGACAGAGGCGAAUUUACUGAGAACUCGUGCCUAGUAGUAGGAGAGUUUCUGUAAACUCAUGCCUUGUCAAAGAUGAGUUUUUGUAACUCGUGUCUAACAAUAAGUGAGUCUAAUGCAAUUUGUGCCUAAUAUAAAGCAAGUUGAAUUUAAACUCGUGCCUAGUAAAAAUAAGUUUACCGAACUUUGCCGACCCGAAGUCUCGUGUUGAGAUCGUGUGUGCCGAGCAAGUUAUUGGCUUGUGUGUUCGUCAGGCAUGAUGACGUAAGAAAGCGCCGGCUUGUGCUGAUUCAGACAAGUUUGUAGCUGAGAGAUCGCCAUUCCAAGCAUGAGGACAUGACAGUAGCACUCACUUGUUGAUUCUCUUUGGCUCAACGAUCUAAUCAACUCUGGUUCACAACAAAAAGCAUGAUCAGAUCAAGGUUAACCAAAAGAACCAGCCAAGUUUUGUAUAAUUGAUAAGCAAGCGAUAGUUUAACUUGUGUUAAUGCUCGGCUAUUGCAUAUGAUGUUAGUAAUUUAUCAAUUACUAAUCAUUAUGCACAGGUUGCAAACAACAAAUCAAUCAACCGUAAUUAUCUCAUAAAGGUUAUAAGAUACUUAUCUUUGAGGAUGAGCCUUGUUUGUAACUUGACAAAGAAGUUAUUGUGGACGUGAUGACAUUUUGUGCUGACGAUCUCAAUGGAUCGCUCUUAUCAGAGCUGAGAUGACGGUGAACUCAAAGCUGAUGACUUUAUCUUUGUUCCUCACUGUUGAGAGCUCGUUUCCUUUUGCAACCUCUUCUUCGUAUUUUUUUUUUUGAGAUGACAAACUCGUAUGCCGUUCAUGUUCAAAGCGGAGGUUAAGCAUGAAGCGUCGAGAGAGUACCACAGGCCUAGUGAGGAAGAUAACUUAGGGAGUGUGCAUGAGCUUGAGCCUCUUGAUCCUUGAACUUGAGCUCGAGCUUCUUGAUGGCUGACGUGCGUGCAUGACCUUUAGCCUCGUGACCGUCGAGCAAGUGAUGGAGCUUUAGGCCCGCAAGAAGCUUCGUUGAUGGAGCUUUGAAGACGUCAUGGUGAUGAAGCCAUAAGAAACCGGGUGCCGAGAUCACAUGAUCACCUCUGUUUCUCGGCGGUGUACCGGACGAGCUUGAACUUACAUUGUUGUUUGGCGUUGACUUGUGCCUAGUAAAUCACAUGACUGUUGCUCGGCGUUAACCCGCACGAUCUCAAGGCUUCUGUCGCAACAAGAGCAGUCAUCGACGAGGUGAGACGAGAUGGACCUUGAACGGAGGCACGCAAACGAGGCCUUGAAGAGCUUGCCGGUAAUGACGUGCUUGUCUAGAGAGCUUUCUUGAAGAAGCAAGACCUUGUUGGAGAGGUUGUCAUCGACAUGAUCAUAACCAAUUGAACCUUCUCCUCGUCAUGAAGGAGCUCUCCUCCUAUUCUCACGCUCAUGCCAAGGUUAAAGCCUUGUCGGGUAGAAAGAUGCGACCGAUUCCCUUGCUGUGUGAAAGCAAAGGCCAGAGCUGUCCUUGGGCUUCUUGGGAUACAGCGAUCUCGGGAUGAAGAAGAGACAGCACUUGCUACACGGUCUCGUCUUAAAGAUGAGGCAAGAACUUCCUGUCACUCGGUUUCGUCUUUAACGAAGACGAGGAGCUUGUACUAUCCCGUCAGUGGGCGAGCUUGUGUGAUGCAGUGAUCAAGCUCGUUUAUCAGACGAGAGCCAGAAAUGAGCAGGGUCUGUAAGCUUCCGAGCUGACUGGUAUGGCCUAGCCCUAGUUCACCGUAAAUUACGCUCCAUUCUAUUAAAACAAAGACAUUAGAAGUUGAAAUAAUUCGUAAGAAACUAUUUAAUAAUGCUUUGGAGAGUUAUGCAAGGUAGCUUGUCAAUUAUCUAUGGGAACAAUCGUUCAAAGUAUACAAUAAUUUAUAACAUUGACUCAGCGAAUGAAUAAUUGAUAAAUAAUUAAUCAAGAAUCCACGACUUGCACAAAGUGUGAAGUAUUAUUUAGUGGUAAUGGAUAAUUGACCAAAAUAUUGAAAAGGAGACUUAUCUUUUUUUUUUGUGUAGGCAAUUUUGAUGGAGAUAUCUUGUGCCAGUCUGGAGGGAUUUCGAACAGAAGGUAUCUUGUAGUUACCAGGUCCACAAGUGAGUAGAUUCCCUGGUUUAAUCCAUUUAUGAGAUGCAUCUCCCCAUUUCACUUCUUCUAGAGCUACCCAUCCUAACCCUUGUACGAAUGCUCCUUCUAUCUGCAAAACAUGUUCAGGUUUCAGACACAAACGCAACACUCUUGUCUUAAUGAUUUCAAGUGGUUUUGUUUCAAGUACUUGUCCAAUAUCUAUGGCUGGGUUAAGAGAAUAUCCCAGGUCCAACUUUAUAUCGACCGUUUUUGUGUGAAAGUCACCGGUUAAUGUAUCGAUCUCAACUUCCGCAAAUGCAGCUCCGUAGGUGUAAUAUCUGAAUGGGUUUCCUUUACCGGAGAUCCAGUCAAAGCCAAUCGGGAACAAUGUAAAAGCCAUGAGCAGAGAGGUCUAUUCGUUGAAAAUAGCAUGCACUUGCCAGCUACAUACCAAUCAAAACAAAGCAGGUUAAGAGAGUUUUAUUCAUCAAAAGGCAAAGAAUGUUUCAUUGAGUUACCUCAGCAAAGGAGUUGCCACUGAGCUUAGUGGCAAGAGGCUCCAUUCGUGCUUUAAUCUGCUCACAAGCGUCCAAAAACCGCACACCGUACAUGCAGAGCUCAGAGAACAGCGGUUGGUGACGCAUUUGGAACCUAUCAAAAUAUAGAGCAACGAACAGUUUUGUGCCUGAAACAUAGUUACAUAUUAUUUCUUAACACUUUAUAUUAUAAUAUUACCUUGUCGGUGCUCGUUCUGAUACAAAAACGGAACUAAGGGGAAUGUUAAAGGCAAAAGCAGCAACUUGGGCAACCUUCGUAUGCAAUCCUUGACCCAUCUCUACACCUCCAUGUGUCACCAAAACAGUGCCGUCUGUGUACACAUGAACAAGAGCACCUGCCUAACACCCAAAAUAAAAAUGGAUAAGUAACAAAAACUCUCUGUUUCUUGCUUCGCAAGAAAUGGUAGUGCAAAGUGGACUGUUUCUUACCUGGUUCAUGAACUUUUUGGUAAAUGAAACGCCAACUUUGUAGGAACCAUAGCCACACCACGCUUUUUCCACCGGUUGUGGCUAUUAAAAUCGUCGACUUCUCUACGAGCCUUUAGAAAGUUGCAAGACACUUUCAGCUCCUUCCAGAGCUGAUGCAGUGUGCAAUGCGAAUACACUGAGAGUAAUGUGUGAUAGAGCCUUCCACUUGAAAGUUCAUCUCCUAAAUUGACACGCAAGAAAACAUCAAAACAUGAAAAAAAUUCUAUGAACUUUCAGGAACAUUAUGAUUUCUUCAACUCACUUUGAUUUCUUCAGGGCUUCUAUCCAGUUCAGCUGCGAUUCUCUGGACCAGUUUUCGGUUAUAAGCAUGCCUUGCGGACCUCCAAAGCCUCGGAAAGCAGUGUUGCUAGGAUAGUUAGUAAAGCAAACGUUCCCUCUGAUCCUCACAUGUGGGAUCUCAUAGACAGUAUCAGAGUUAAACAUGGCAAUCUCAAGAACAGCUUGGGAAAGAUCCAAAGAGUUUCCACCAUUGUUGUAGACUUCAAGGUCAUACGCCAAUACUUUCCACCAUUAGUAAACCCAACCUGUAAAUAGUAUCGGAAUAACAAUUAAUAAGAAAACGCUUUAUCUAAUAACCACAGAGGAUGAUGAUACCUCGUUGCCACCAUCACUUGUCCAGACCAAACUACCAUGGGCUCCAUGUAAAAGUGUUCCUGGCUGCCCAUUUGAACCUCUCCAUUUAUUAUCCUAUCUCACUGACCUGACUGAAAGCAUAGCUCUACAUCUCCUUUCCUUAGCAUUUUCUCUGUGUUUGGGUGGAAACUUUUAGCAGCAAUAGCCUCCUUGAUUGAUAAUAUUGCUGGUAAUAGCAUUUUCAUGUGUAUCCGCAACAAACCACACCAAUGACCUGAAAAAAUCCAGACACAGUUUAGCGAUAAUCUAAGAAAUAAAAAGUUUCAUUCAAGUCUUCUACUUGUCCCACACAUGUGACCACAUCUGUAGCAAAUAAUUCUUCAUCAGCUACCACAGGUCCAGUCUUAUUAUCUGCUGGACCGUAUUUGGCAAGAAACAUACCAGCAAAACCACGUGAAGAUUUGGAGGCACUGGGGCAUCAGUAUAUUUCUGCUUCCCCUGUGACCUACAUGAAAGUUCAAGAGUGUUGAGAGUUGAGACAUUGUGUUAUGCUUUGAUUUCACGAUUUCCUUCUAUAAUAGUUUACUGAAAAAUGCUUUGAUAAGCAAUCAUUUUCUACCCAAGAGAAGAGAGAUACAUCUUUCUUCCAUGUUUGAAUAGGCAGAGAUAACACAAAGAAUGGUGAUAACAACACUCGGUUACACUAUGAUUCACAGCGAUUGUUCUUUAAAUCCUCAAGAAUCUGUUACCUAUAAAUUUAUAAGAAAACAGCUCACCUUUUUAAAAUAAAAUAAAAUAAGUUCGAUAGAGAUCAUCAAAUUCAUAAUGGAAGUGAACUUGUCCAAGGAAGAAUAUAAGAAACUUGAACGAAUAAAACAUCUUUCCUCAUCAACGAAACCAAUAUGUGCAAGAAACGGAGCAAAGGUAUGUCUCUGAGGUUCUUCCAAGCAACUUGAAGUAGAUAGGGUACUUGCAACGAUCCUUACACCGCCCCUUGCAAAACGGACGAGUUACACUAUCAUUGAGCCCCACCUGACACGAUUUGCCCCAAAUCUUUGCUAAACUUCUUGGCAUGAGCCCUGUCGAGUCUCCGAGCACACAACUUGUAUGCAAACUAGCCCGCUGAUCUUUACAAGUGUAGAACCAUUCCUUUGAAUCGGUUUCUUUCUCGCAGAUGUCACACCAAUAUUUACCACUUGCCUCCUCUUCUUCGCCAUAGCACAGUGAGAGAGGAUGAUCGUCUACUCUAUUCUUCACCACUUGUGGUAGAGUGGCGCAUUUGAAUCCCAAUGCAAAUCCACAAUCACCUUCAAUGCACCUGAGGACAUGUGAUUCCUUCUGUUGCAACCAUUGCAUAUUUCUACUUCUUCUGUUGGAAUGUAAUAUAAGGGAUGUUGGGGAUGACUUGGAUGGAAAAAUGGCUCAGAAAUUGAACCGCACAAGACAUCAAAAUCCUUAUCUUCAUCCUUGUACAUGAAACCAUUGGACCUUCGAUAGCAAGCAUCACAACUGAAGACUUGUAGCUCCUUGUUUGUAACUAAAGUGAGCCGUUCAUUGUGUAGUACAUGUCGUCUCCUUUAGGACAUUCAGCACAAUUCUGAUGUAGAGAAAAAUCACAAUUCACACAGCUAUAAAAAGAUUGAAGACCGAUGGGAUGGGUGCAUGCGCUGCAUCGUUUGGUAUCCUCAUACAAAACAACCAUUCUCAUUGAAUCUGAGGUAAUGCUUUGUGGCUGAAAUGUUGUAUUGUGUUGUCGUCUAUCACCACAUAUGGUUCUAUAUCUUCUUCUUCUUCAGGUACUCCUUCUAGUUCUUCCCCAUUCCACACAUCUUUUCUGGUAGCACAUUUAGAAUGAACGACAUAGCCAGGACACCUCUUGCAAGAAAACCCACCACAAGUCCAAUCCACUUUCUUGCGACAAACUCCACACACAGAAUUCAUAGCAGCGUCACCAAGAACCGAAGUACGAGAAACACAGUGAUCAUGCCGGUUGAUGUUAAUGACACGUGGAAGGCCAAGACAAUCUUGAUGGAUCAUGAAACCACAAUCAAAACAUGCGUAAGGGCUUCGAUCUCCCUUUAGACCGCAAGCAUUACAUGUAAAAGAAUCGAGUCUUGGAAGAAGGGUGAGUUGGUGAUCAUGCACUUUCGGAUCAACAAGAGAUUUUUGUGGUGGAAUAAGAACACAAUGGAAAUCCACAGUGAAGUUACAAGAAGAACAAUGAUAAAAAUAUUCACCAAUCUCUGUUCCGCAAAGACGACAUUUACCAUCAGAAUAGUGCGGUGGUGGACCUGUGAGGAGCUUAAGAGGAUGCAAGGAGUGGUAAGGGUGGUUUACCUCUGGUGAGUAAUUUAGCUUUAUUGCUGGGUUCCAUACACAAUCCACGUGGAAGGAUACAUCGCAUUCAUCACAUUUGUAAGGAAGUCCACCACUAGCCUUCCCGCAUUUAGCAGAACAGUCGAACUUAGUCCCUUUCUUGAGAAGUAUGAGCUUGUGGGGAUGGGUCUCAAAAUUGUCAAUAACAUUUGGUGGUUGUUGCUUGGCACAGUGUAGAUCCAAGUCGAAGUCACACAUGUCACAACGGUAGAAUAGCUUUGAGAUUUUCCAACGACAAAAGUCACAUCUGUUACUUGAUUCAUGUUGAAGCUCGAGAGUGUGCCCGGGGUGAGAUGGGUGGUCGAUGAAUUCAGAGAUCUCGUCGUUGCCACAUUUCUUGUGGACGAAAAAGACACAGAGUUUACAAAAGUAGCCGUCACUCUGUGAUUCAUAUCUCCCACAACAAUCACCUCUCCUCAGAUCAUUCCAAGGCAUCAUAGGAUGCUCGUGAAAUGGUAACCACACUCCCUCAGAUUCCAUUUGCUCUCUCUCUCUCUCGUAUACUAAAGAAGAUGAAGAAAGAGAAAGGGGUUGAAUACGUGUAUUAAGAAAAAGAAGAAGUCAUGAGGUUGAACAGUGUGGGCAUCUCUUUCUCUGGCCACUCAAACAUUAUCCCCUCUCAAGUUUCUUUGUUUUCAUAUUUCGAUAAAGAAAAGGUUCCCUAUGCUUAAGGUGGGGUUGUCCGCUUUGUUUUCUCUUUUACUUUUCUGGUUUUCUUUUUGCUUUUUCUCCAAAUGCGUAGUAUUGUCACUUAUCAGCUGCAUAACCGUAACGAAGAAAGAUGGUGGACGCUCAAGAAGCUAUAGUUCUGGCAGCAUUUGCCUCUUUCAGGAUAACCUUACAGAUUUUUUUCUCAUUAUAGUUGCAACUAUUUUGAUGACCAUGACCUAAGUUGAAGGUUAUGCAUCACUUUUGUUAUUUAGAUAGACGAUCAGCUGAGAAAUAAUUCUGGUUCAUUGUCGUCACUGUCUUUCUUGGAUGUAUCAUUAUAGAGACAUCGUUUCAGCUGUUUCAAAUAUUUCCAUGGAUAAUGAAGUCACAUUACGUACAUUGAUAAAAAGUAGAUUACAAACUUGUAUACUCGCUUCCGCUUGUCUAAUCAAAAUGCUUAUAAUCUUUUUCAACCUUAGUUACUAUUGCAGAUUACUCUUGAAAUUGUGAGAGAGGUUGAUUAUAGCAUGGACCCCAAAGAGAAGCUUGUUAAUUCAUCUCACAGAGCAAAUGUAUGUACCAGACCUUUAAGAUGAUAGCGUAUUGCAAUGGUAUGCCAAAAAUGGACGUGAUGUACCUCAAAUGGUAUGCCAAAAUACUUCAGCGUGUUCCCUGGCAUGAGCCACCUAGUGUCUCCGAGCACACACGUGUAGAACCAGUUCUUUGGAUUGGUAUCUUUCUUACCAAAUGUCACACCAGUAUUUGCCAUUUUCCUUUGAGAGCUUUACGUAUAUAGGUACUUUCGGCUUCCACUUUUACAGUUUAACAUACUUGUAGCUGGUGGUGUACUUUGUGUCUUACUUUUGAAUUAUUGUGACAAAAAUGCCCUUUACGAAAAGUCUCGUGACUAGUUGGUAGGUUUCUGGAGUCUUGUGCUUUUAUAGUGACAAUUGAAUUAGUGCAAAUUAAAUUUGAUCCGAUGGAUGUGUGUUUCGUGGUACAUAAGAAGUUUUUUUUAUUUUGUGUUUAACUGUAUAGUAAAUUUUUUUUAGUUAUGCAUAUUAACGUAAUGUAUGGUUGAUUUGGGAAUGAGUUGUUAUGUUAUAAUAGAAGGUGCAGUUAGUAAGAACAUACAUUUGUGGUCAAGAUCAUAGUAUAGGUAUGAUCAUUAAAAAAUUGUGGUCAUUUCUUUGAGAUUCAUAAUUUGUUUUUUAAUAACUUUUUGCUGACCAUUACAAUUCAAUAAUUGUGGUUAUGGAGAAAUUAUUUUAUAAGCAAGUAUGGUUAUAAAAUUUGGUUCAUUGGCUUAUUGAUGUGGUUAGGCAAGUGUGGUUAUAAGCUUUGGAUCUUUUUCUUUUCUUCCAGCUUUCUCACCUCUCGUUUUGAAUCUCACCGUCCAUUAAACAAAAAAAAUCAAAAUAUAGAGGAAGAAAAUCAUAAAUCCACCAUAUUUAUGAUUAAAAGGUAUAUGGCAUCACUAUUCUUCGCUUAACCUUUGGUUUCAUUAUCUUUCAUCUCGAUAUCUACGAGCAAGAAAAAAGUGAAGAAUAGAAGGUGACUCAGAUCUGACUCAACGACGCGGUGAGAGCGAGCGAACUUCACCUAUGAACGUUAAGCUUCCUUGAAAUCUAACGCUUCCACCGUCGAAGAAAACUUUGUCAUCAUCACUUCCAACUGAAUCGCCUCUUUAAAUAUUUUUUUAUUUUUUGGAUUCUUUUCUCGUGAAAUAAAAAUUUGUAUUGAAGAAUAAAAGGAAAAAAGAGAAAGGUAAAGCUUCACAAAGAGUUGGGUCACGAUAAAAGUAAGGGAAAUAGAAAGAUAAUUAAUUUCAGGGGUAAUUUAGACAAUAGCACGUACAAAAGUACUUGACAUGGGAAAAGUAUGCUAAAGUGAUAUAGAGUAGAGAUAAAGUAUGUCUAAGUGUAAAUUUUUCUUUUCCUUUUCUCCAUAGCAUAGUGAGAGAAUAUAAUCAUCAACCUAUGCUUUGCCUCCAUGGCUUAUUAAUAUUUAUUAAUAUUAUGAUUGUUCAUUUCGCUCUACCUCUUCCCAUAUCAAACGUAAACAAGAGAGCACUCAACAGAGCAAAAGCAUAUAUCUGGGGACCCAAGCACCUUGAGGUAGAUAGGGUACAUGCAACGAGACUUGCACCGAAUGCAAAAUGGGCGAGUUACACUAUUAUUCAGCACCACCUCAUGCGGUAUGCCCAACAACUUUGGUACGCUUCUUGGCAUGAGUCCUGCAGUGUCUCCGAGCACACAUUUUGUAUGCAAACUAGCCAAGUGAUCUUUACACGUGUAGAACCAUUUCUUUGGAUCGGUUUCUCUCUCACAGAUGUCGCACCAGUAUUUACCACUUGCCUCUUCUUCUUCCACAUAGCAUAGUGAGAGAGGAUGAUCAUCUACUCUGUGCUUUACCACUUGUGGUAGAGUGGCACAUUUGAAGCAUAUUACAAAUCCACAAUCAUCUUCAAUGCACUUGAGUAGACGAUAUUCCUUAUUGUUGCAACCAUUGCAUAUUCCCGUCUCUUCAAUGGAAUUGUCAGAUAAUACGAAAGUGUAAUAUAAGGGAUGGUGGUGAUGACGUUCAAAUGGCUCAGAAACUGAACCGCACAAGACAUCCAACUUCGUAUACCGAUCCUUGUAUAUGAAUCCAUUGCACAUUCGACUGCAAGCAUAACAUCCGAAGGUAUCUAGCUCCUUGUUUGUAAAUAAAGUGAGCCGUUCAUUGUGUAACACAUGCCUUUUCUUUUUAGGACAUUUAGCACAGCACUGAUGGAGAGAAAAAUCACAAUCCAUACAUCCAUAAAAGGAUUGGAGACCAAUGGGAUGGGUG
rnacentral:lncRNA from 1 species